GAUGAACGCUGGCGGCGUGCCUAAUACAUGCAAGUCGAGCGAAUGGAUUAAGAGCUUGCUCUUAUGAAGUUAGCGGCGGACGGGUGAGUAACACGUGGGUAACCUGCCCAUAAGACUGGGAUAACUCCGGGAAACCGGGGCUAAUACCGGAUAACAUUUUGAACCGCAUGGUUCGAAAUUGAAAGGCGGCUUCGGCUGUCACUUAUGGAUGGACCCGCGUCGCAUUAGCUAGUUGGUAAGGUAACGGCUCACCAAGGCAACGAUGCGUAGCCGACCUGAGAGGGUGAUCGGCCACACUGGGAAUGAGACACGGCCCAGACUCCUACGGGAGGCAGCAGUAGGGAAUCUUCCGCAAUGGACGAAAGUCUGACGGAGCAACGCCGCGUGAGUGAUGAAGGCUUUCGGGUCGUAAAACUCUGUUGUUAGGGAAGAACAAGUGCUAGUUGAAUAAGCUGGCACCUUGACGGUACCUAACCAGAAAGCCACGGCUAACUACGUGCCAGCCGCCGCCGUAA
rnacentral:rRNA from 1 species